CCCUUAGAUGUCCGGGGCCGCACGCGCGCUACACUGAAGGAAUCAGCGUGGCUUUCUCCCUGACCCGAAAGGGUUGGGAAACCCGUUGAAUCUCCUUCGUGAUAGGGAUUGGGGCUUGAAAUUGUUCCCCAUGAACGAGGAAUUCCCAGUAAGCGCGAGUCAUAAGCUCGCGUUGAUUACGUCCCUGCCUUUUGUACACACCGCCCGUCGCUACUACCGAUUGAACGGUUUAGUGAGGGCCUCGGAUUGGUCUCGGCCCGCUCUUUACCGGGCGGCGCCGUUGGUCGAGAAGACGCUCGAACUUGAUCGUUUAGAGGAAGUAAAAGUCGUAACA
rnacentral:rRNA from 1 species